UUCCGGUUGAUCCCGCCGGACCUGACUGCUAUCGGAUUGAUACUAAGCCAUGCGAGUCAUUGUAGUAAUACAAGGCAGACGGCUCAGUAACGCGUAGUCAACCUAACCUAUGGACGGGAAUAACCUCGGGAAACUGAGUAUAAUGCCCGAUAGAACAUUAUGCCUGGAAUGGUUUAUGUUCCAAAUGAUUUAUCGCCGUAGGAUGGGACUGCGGCCUAUCAGUUUGUUGGUGAGGUAAUGGCCCACCAAGACUAUUACAGGUACGGGCUCUGAGAGGAGUAGCCCGGAGAUGGGUACUGAGACACGGACCCAGGCCCUAUGGGGCGCAGCAGGCGAGAAAACUUUGCAAUGUGCGAAAGCACGACAAGGUUAAUCCGAGUGGUUUCUGCUAAAGGAACCUUUUGUUAGUCCUAGAAACACUAACGAAUAAGGGGUGGGCAAGUUCUGGUGUCAGCCGCCGCGGUAAAACCAGCACCUCAAGUGGUCAGGAUGAUUAUUGGGCCUAAAGCAUCCGUAGCCGGCUCUAUAAGUUUUCGGUUAAAUCUGUACGCUCAACGUACAGGCUGCCGGGAAUACUGCAGAGCUAGGGAGUGGGAGAGGUAGACGGUACUCGGGAGGAAGGGGUAAAAUCCUUUGAUCUCUCGAUGACCACCUGUGGCGAAGGCGGUCUACCAGAACACGUCCGACGGUGAGGGAUGAAAGCUGGGGGAGCAAACCGGAUUAGAUACCCGGGUAGUCCCAGCUGUAAACUAUGCAAACUCAGUGAUGCAUUGACUUGUGGUCAAUGCAGUGCUGCAGGGAAGCCGUUAAGUUUGCCGCCUGGGAAGUACGUACGCAAGUAUGAAACUUAAAGGAAUUGGCGGGGGAGCACCACAAGGGGUGAAGCCUGCGGUUCAAUUGG
rnacentral:rRNA from 1 species